GCGAACGUUAGCGGCGGGCCUAACACAUGCAAGUCGAGCGAGAAAAGGGCUUCGGCUCUUAGUAAAGCGGCGGACGGGUGAGUAUGACGUAGGUAACCUUCCUUCGAGCGGGGGACAACGGUCCGAAAGGACCGCUAAUACCGCAUACGUUCCCAGGGACUCCGGUCUCUGGGAGGAAAGCUAGGGUAGCAAUACUCCGGCACUCGAAGCGGGGCCUACGCCGCAUCAGCUAGUUGGUGGGGUAAUGGCCUACCAAGGCUAAGACGCGUAGCUGGUCUGAGAGGAUGAUCAGCCACACUGGGACUGAGACACGGCCCAGACUCCUACGGAGGCAGCAGUGGGGAAUAUUGGACAAUGGGCGCAAGCCUGAUCCAGCCACGCCGCGUGAGUGAUGAAGGCCUUCGGGUCGUAAAGCUCUGU
rnacentral:rRNA from 1 species